GCUCCGGUAUCCGAGUGGUUAGAGCGUCCGCCUCGGAUGCGGGAGGUCGCGGGUUUGAACCCCGGCUGAGUCA